rnacentral:rRNA from 1 species
GUUUGAUCCUGGCUCAGGAUGAACGCUGGCGGCGUGCCUAACACAUGCAAGUCGAGCGAGCUGAAUUGUUUGAAGCCUUCGGGUGGAAAAUAAGGAUGCUAGCGGCGGACGGGUGAGUAACGCGUGGGCAACCUACCCUGUACAGGGGGAUAACAAUGGGAAACCAUUGCUAAUACCCCAUAAUACCUUUAAGGGGCAUCCCUUAAAGGUCAAAGAAUUUCGGUAUAGGAUGGGCCCGCGUCUGAUUAGCUAGUUGGUGAGGUAAUGGCUCACCAAGGCGACGAUCAGUAGCCGGCCUGAGAGGGUGAACGGCCACACUGGAACUGAGACACGGUCCAGACUCCUACGGGAGGCAGCAGUAGGGAAUCUUCCGCAAUGGACGCAAGUCUGACGGAGCAACGCCGCGUGAGCGAUGAAGGUCUUCGGAUCGUAAAGCUCUGUUGUCAGGGAAGAACAAGUAUCGGAGUAACUGCCGGUACCUUGACGGUACCUGACCAGAAAGCCACGGCUAACUACGUGCCAGCAGCCGCGGUAAUACGUAGGUGGCAAGCGUUGUCCGGAAUUAUUGGGCGUAAAGCGCGCGCAGGCGGUCCUUUAAGUCUGAUGUGAAAGCCCCCGGCUCAACCGGGGAGGGUCAUUGGAAACUGGGGGACUUGAGUGCAGAAGAGAAGAGCGGAAUUCCACGUGUAGCGGUGAAAUGCGUAGAGAUGUGGAGGAACACCAGUGGCGAAGGCGGCUCUUUGGUCUGUAACUGACGCUGAGGCGCGAAAGCGUGGGGAGCAAACAGGAUUAGAUACCCUGGUAGUCCACGCCGUAAACGAUGAGUGCUAGGUGUUAGGGGGUUUCCGCCCCUUAGUGCUGAAGUUAACGCAUUAAGCACUCCGCCUGGGGAGUACGGCCGCAAGGCUGAAACUC